CCUACGGGAGGCAGCAGUGAGGAAUAUUGGUCAAUGGGCGCGAGCCUGAACCAGCCAAGUCGCGUGAGGGAGGACGGCCCUACGGGUUGUAAACCUCUUUUGCCGGGGAGCAACGGGCGUCACGUGUGGCGCCACUGAGAGUACCCGGAGAAAAAGCAUCGGCUAACUCCGUGCCAGCGGCCGCGGUAAUACGGAGGUUGCGAGGGUUAUCCGGAUUUAUUGGGUUUAAAGGGUGCGUAGGGGGAUCGUUAAGCCAGGGGUAAAAUUGAGGGGAACAACCCCUUCCCGCCAUUGAAACUGGCGUUCUGAGGUGGAAGAGGAGUAUGCGGAAUGGGUGGUGUAGCGGUGAAAUGC
rnacentral:rRNA from 1 species